UAGGAGUGUAAUAAAAAGGUCUUUGUUCAUCAAAACGAACAUUGAAAGAAGAUAAGAAUUUAAACUGAAUAGAGAAUUUCAGACUGUGAGAAGAGAAAGAGGAGAAAAAAGGGCAGGGGGCUUGAUAAACAACAAGUAUUCUGCUUAAGAAUUGUGCAAAUGCAGCUAGCACAGAAGACUGUGUAACUAACUAUAUACAAGCUAACUUUUAGGCCAAGGACAACCAGCAAAGAAGAUAAGGAGCCUUCAUCCCCAUGACCACCAAGGGAAGAGAGAAAAAGGACCCCCUAGCAACCAAUUGCACCGGCGCAGAGUACAUCGAGAGAAAAUACGUCAACCGAAAAAAAAAGGGAGGACUAUAAAAACAAAAAGGUCAAAGGGGGAAGGUGCGCUGUGGCAGAGUGGAGACUCCCCGGCUGCCCAGCGCUGUUUUUUUGCUUAAUAUCUCUUGCUUAAUAAAUUCUUGUUAAUUGAUUUAUCUGUAAUUAGCCUCCCCAAUUGAAUUUGUCCAUAACAAAUUUGGUGCCGUGACUCGGAUAAGGGCAAACGGGCAGGAAUUCCUAAUUAGGGAGGCGCCCCGCUGCCUUUUCAGCAGCCCUGGUGCAGGCUUUUCCUUCUCGGGCCCUUACCGACGAACCUAAAUUCGGUAUUAAGCAAAAGGGAUACCGGUAACCCCGUAAUCUUUGUGCACGAAGCCCGGGCGAAGACGCAGGACAGCAAACUGCAGUCAGAACCGCCGAGAAGGGAUGGACACAUGCGAGCCGAAUAAAGGGACCGAUUACUGCUGCUGCUGCCGAAGACCCCUGGAGAAUAACCAGCCAACCCGGAGAUCUUAAGGUCACAUUUAAAUGGACUUAAUGGACUCAGUAAAAAUUGUACAAACCAGCUGGUAUAGUGAGAUAUUGGAUUAUGGAUAUCCUAUAACUGAUGAUUUUAGAGUCUAUUGUACAAAUAAGGAUUGUGAUUGUUACCCUUUUGUAUGCUAUAUUUGUAAAAUUUGCCAGGAACGGUGGUGGGUCCAUAGUUAUAGAGGUACCCCUCCUAGGGGUAUUUGUAAAGGGUGUUAUCAAUUAGAAAGAGAACUGACAAAGUCAGUCCUAAAGAUUGGAGAAGAGAACGGGACCCUACCAAGGGAAUCCCAAGAGUGGUGGGAGGUGUUUACUAAGGGGGCUAGGCCUGAAAAUUGUUGUUACCACUCUAAUGAACCAAUUCCCCUAAUUGUUCAAAUUAUAAAAGGGAAUUGCCGGAAGACUUUACCUGGAAUUCAGUGUAAUUCACCGCAAGUGAAGGAUAAGAAUUGGGAAUCAUUCAAAAAGAGGCAGCAAAAACAGAGUAAGGGUCCUCCUGAAGAAUAUCCUUGCUGCCGAGAAGAUGGUACACCUCGCGGCUCGAAGCAACCGGGUCGGCGAGCGAGGCAGAGGGAUAAGAAGCAGUGGAGGAAAAACUGGGACAAUUCAAAGGUAUUUCAAGAACUGCCUCAAGGAUACUGAUCUCCCAAGGGUAAAGGUGAGCCCAGCAAUAACAUGUCAAACCAAACAGUGGGAAGGGGGAAAUAAUGAUAAUCAAGUUCUGGGGCGGUUUGGACUCCACCCUUGCUGGCAAAUUCUGUACAUAUUAGUUAUAUGUUGUACCUGGCCUGUACAAGGGGACUAUGCACACCAGCCAUUUAACUGGACUCUGACCAAAAUAGACCAAGGGAAAGUUGUUAAGCAAAAUGCCACCACUGUAGCUCCUACUUUUUUAGUUACUAAUGAGGACUUGGUGAACUCUGUGUGGGGAUGGAGUAAACCUGACUUCCACGCUAUCUAUUGGUGUCCUAGUUCCAAUCCUGGGAGGGGAUAUUGUAAUUACCCUGGGGAAUAUCUGUGUGGAUAUUGGGGCUGUGAAACCAUAGCAACUGCCUGGGCUGUUACCCAUCCAGAUAAAUUUUUACAGGUCUCAUGGUAUCCUAAAGGAUGCAAAGUUCCAUGGUAUGGCACUCAAGGAGAAAUUCUGUAUAUGGGGAAUUGCAGGUCCUGUGAUAUUGUUGUUACUAGGUUUGACUUUCGGACCUUGCAUUUUUAAUAAAAUCAUAGACAUUGUAAAAGGAAGACUAGAGGCAGCUCAUCUAAUGCUUAUUAGGGAGAGAUACGAAGCAUUGCCCAGGGACUCAGAAGUAGAUGAAACCCUGGUCUUAAGCCACCAAGAGUUAAAGCGUUUUAAUGAACAAAUUGGUAAAGAGAAAGAGGAGGGAUUGUAAUAAAAAGGUCUUUGUUCAUCAAAACGAACAUUGAAAGAAGAUAAGAAUUUAAACUGAAUAGAGAAUUUCAGACUGUGAGAAGAGAAAGAGGAGAAGAAAGGGGGGGGGCUUGAUAAACAACAAGUAUUCUGCUUAAGAAUUGUGCAAAUGCAGCUAGCACAGAAGACUGUGUAACUAACUAUAUACAAGCUAACUUUUAGGCCAAGGACAACCGGCAAAGAAGAUAAGGAGCCUUCAUCCCCAUGACCACCAAGGGCAGAGAGAAAAAGGACCCCCUAGCAACCAAUUGCACCGGCGCAGAGUACAUCGAGAGAAAAUACGUCAACCGAAAAAAAAGGGGGGACUAUAAAAACAAAAAGGUCAAAGGGGGAAGGUGUGCCGUGGCAGAGUGGAGACUCCCCGGCCGCCCAGCACUGUAUUUUUGCUUAAUACUGCUUGCUUAAUAAAUUCUUGUUAAUUGAUUUAUCUAUAA